ensembl:lncRNA
CUGUAUUACAGCCUUUCAGCAGGAUACCAUUCAGUAGUUUUGCCAUCACAAAGGACUAUGCCUUCUUAACUUUGCCAAAUAGCAACAUAAAAUUUAUACCUUCAUGAAAUUAGUUUAAGCUAAUGCAUUUUGUCUUAAAAGUUAAGGUGAGGUAAGCAUACAUGUAUGGUCUAUUAUGAGUCACCUGAUGAAAAGUAAUUUGUAAAGCUGCUGUACACUGAUUGCCUUUGGUCAUAUGCCCGUAGACUUCUCUGAAGAGGAAACAUUCUGCACCUACUUGGUCCUCCACGGGUAGUAGCACUUUUAUGAAAUGUGACAAAUCCGUUAUUUUUAUGGGAAUAAGUACUUUUGAAAAUCACAGGACGAAUGAACAAGCCAUAAAGUGCAGACCCGAAUCCGUACUUCAGUCAGUUACAGGAUCUCAUUUUUGUAAAAAUCUUGAUGUGAUUCAUAAUGGUAAUAAUGCUAGAUAUAUGACGGACUUUGAGACCUAUGCUAAUACAGUUUAUUAAACCUGUUGUUCUACUACUAUAGGGCUGCUGGAAGCAUCUUCAAGUUUUACAAGCUAUGCAGUGAUUCAUCAAAUGAUUUCCAGAAGAAACUAUGACAUUAUCCUACAAUAACCGGCCUCUGUGUCACUCUUACUUGGGACAAAUUCUACAAACAGCUUUGUCUUGCUCCCAUGUCAGCAUUUCUCUGAGUUGUUUAUAACCCUGAAGCCUGGGCUGUGUGUCCUGUCUCCUACCAUGCCAUCCAUGCUUGUACUUCUGCUUCUACAGUCACAGUGUACAAGUAUAAGUAAAAAUAAAACAGAAUAUAGCACCACUCACUAGAAAAGCAGAUGUUAUAUAUAAAAAAAAAAAAAAAAAUGUCCAGGCAAGCUGAUGCAAGUGACAUGAAGUAAACCUUGCAAACACUAAUCCUGAGGCUCUGAGAGUAAGUACACAACUACAGUCUGUUACUACCAAUGACGUUCCUGUGCAUACUGGGCUACUGGGGUAAAAAGUCCUAUGCAAACAUAAAUUACAAACCAUACCUGAUAGUAUUCAAGGUAAAAUCAAUUUCAAAGUUAACAAAGGAGACAGAAAACCUGAACAACAGUGCUCAUGGACCAACCCUGGAGACCCUCAUGGAGAGAGUCGAACUACUGGCAAUUGGGAAUAUGAUGAUUUACUGUGAUGCCCUGCUGUACUUUUAUAACUAUUGUAUUCCGAUUCAUAUUGUAAUGGCACUGAGUAUAAAUUCUAGACAUCUCACAUAAAGUAUGUUCUUUUCAUGCAUUUAAUGAUGUUUUGAGUGCAACACUCAUUUUUUCAAACAAGAAAAAGAAAAUAUUGAUCAUUUAUUUGACUGGAUUUUUUCAGUGAUUAUUCUAUCAUUUUUAGUGCUUACUACAUCAAAAACCUUUUGCAGCAUCUUUCUAAGUCUGCAAUAAUAAGUAAGAUUUAAUCAUAAUCUACUACUUCCAAGUAAGAAUUAGUAUUCAUCAGCUGUUGGGACCUAGUUUUUGACACUUUGAAUUCAACCAUCUAGAGAACACAACCAAUCUCUGAAUUCAGCUCUGUAUUUGUGCUCUGUCUUAUUAUAAACUAAGUUGAAUUAUAUAUUUUAUAUGUAUCCUACUGUACAGUGUGGAAGUCAGAAAUGAUGCCUUCUUAAGGAAUUAUUAUCAGUUGAUUUUGUCAUGUUUGCCUUCAUAAGAAGAAAUAUAAUCAGCAAAUUAAUUGAGAGAUGUCCAAAAUAAAAUAUUUUUAAAUUUGUGCAUUGUCUGAUUACACCUUGAAAGUCUAAAGCAAGGAAGAUCAAAUACAAACACCAGAGGCCACAGAAUAACACUAGUAAGAGACAAUUACUACAUCAAGAGACAGCAUUGAUUAUUACAUUUGCCUUUACUUUUAUAAAUUAGUCUCCUUCAUUUUAUAUAUAUUUAUCUUACGUACAAAAAAGUGAAAUGGAAAAUUAAGAUUGAAUACAACUGUCUGUGGAGAAGGUUGGGCAGAGAGGUUGUAAACUUUUCCUCCAUGGAAGAUUUCUAGGCCAGGCCUGGGCUGUUUGAUCUGAUCCUGUGGCUGGUCCUGUCCUGCGAAUGAGGAUGUGCUGGAUAUCUCCAGAGGUCCUUUCCAGUCCCAGCAGGAAACAUACUGGAGCAAGGCAGGCUACUGGGCAAGAAGGGAAAACAGAUUUCAGUCUCUCUGUCAUCAUGUGGGCAGAUGCUUAUUGUGUGGUGGUUCUCUUUAGCCUAUACAUGAUAUAUCAGUUCAGUCUGUAACCUCCUUGAAACAUGGAAUGUGCCUGUUGCCAUUGCACAUCUCCUAGUUUGAUGGGACUAAGAAGCAGGGACUAUUACAAACCAAAUGAAUACAAUACAUUGUUAAGCAGAUAUUAAAUGACUAUUUGGGGAAUAAAUGUUUUUGCAUUGUGAUUCAUAGCAAAUUCUGCCUGUACAAAGUUGUGGUUAUUCCCUCCCAGUUGUAGGACUGUACAUUUGAUCUCGUUGAACCUCAUAAUGUUCCUCUCUACCCAACACUCACCUUGUCCAGGUCCCACUGAAUGGUAUCACAGCCUUCUGGCAUGUUGGACAUUCUUCCCAACUUUGCAUCAUCAGCAAAUUUGCUGAGGGUGCACUCUAUCUUUUCAUCCAGGUCAUUGAUGAAUAUUGUUGAUGUUGUAAUUCAUAAACAAUAUUAUACAUGUGACACAUACAAACUUCCCUCUUUUAGUUUGGAAACGGUUUGACUCUCGUUCAUGGACUGGUAUACUGGCUUUGUAUUCCUGCAGUGCCUGAUUGUUAUCAAAAGAUUUAGAUUGCUUUAUCUCUUAUUUCCACCUAUAUAAACCUUUAUGCUUCUUUUCUUUUUGUCUGCUGGCUGUUACACAGUGCUCAAUGAUGGUACUCUGGUAGGUUAUUUGAUGUAUAGCAGGUGGUUUGGUUUCCAGGUUGUACUUUUGAGUCUGCUUUUCAAUAGUUAUUCACCAUUAAAUGCAACUGAAUAAGA